rnacentral:misc_RNA from 1 species
GGAAUAUCUUCGGAGAAAAAUGGCGUCAAGGAGGAUAAUCAAAGAGCUGAAGGAUUUGCAGAGAGACCCUCCGACCUCCUGCAGUGCAGGUCCAGUCGGAGAUAACAUGUUGCACUGGCAAGCCACCAUUAUGGGGCCUAAUGACAGCCCCUACUCCGGAGGUGUCUUCCUUGUCACCAUACAUUUCCCGCCGGACUAUCCAUUCAAGCCUCCCAAGGUAGCCUUCAGGACCAAAGUUUUCCAUCCAAAUAUCAACAGCAAUGGCAACAUCUGCUUGGACAUCCUCAAAGAUCAAUGGAGCCCGGCUCUCACUAUAUCCAAGGUUCUGCUAUCUAUAUGUUCACUGCUUACUGAUCCGAACCCUGAUGAUCCCUUGGUGCCUGAGAUUGCUCAUAUGUGC